rnacentral:misc_RNA from 1 species
AACGCACAUUGCGCCUCCCUGAAAAGGGAGGCAUGCCUGUCUGAGCGUCUUUUAAAUCUCAUGGGCUUCAGCUUUGUAGCCCGAGUUGGGCCUCGCCCCCUAUGUCUGGGGGGCGUCGCCUCAAAGGCAUCGGCAUCGAUGUCGAGCGGACGAGUCCCUCUAGGGCCCCACGCGCUCCAUUCGAUGCGGUGAAUAGUCGUAUGACUGACACCAGACCUCAGAUCAGGUAGGAACACCGCCUGAACUUAA